GGGGGGGGGGUCCCAUUAAUUUUGAUUGGGGUUUCAUUGCAUUUCAUAUUUGUAACAUGAUCUCUGUGUUUUACAUUUUAAACAAAAAUGUCUUUUUUUAUUUCUCUUGACAAAAAUGUUUGAAAUAUUUUUUCAUACUUGUAAUUAUCACAAUUGAUAUAAAACUAAUAAGCACACACAUAUUAGAAAAAUGAAUCUCCAAGUGAUAAAACCUUUACUUCAAUAUGUAAUGUAUUACCUUGACUUUCUAUAAUGGGAGCAAGGAGUUUCAGUUUUCAUAAUACAGUUGAACUAAGUCUCAAUGUUGGCUGUGGAAGUUUUCAUUAUAGUGCUCCAUCACUUAUGGUGUCUUAUAACAAACACACACACAAACUUGACAAAA